UUGGAUUAGUUUCCCUGGCAGUGGCUGGCACCAAUGUUCCCUCUAAGCUGCGCAUGUGCACGGAUGUUCAGUAGACUGCCACGCAGCUCCCCGGGACUGCUGCGCAGUAGGAAUAUCAGCCCACACAUGAGUACAAAAUGUGUACAUUUCUAGACAUCUUUAAAAAGCGAGUCAGGUGCCCUGGAAGAGUUCAUCAAGAAGCUUGAUACCUUGAUAAGCUAAUGGCUCACCACUCAUCGUACUGGGCAACUUCAACCUCAGUGCUGCGCCAGGUGGCGACACACAUCUCUGAGUGCCUGCAGAUAUCUUAACUUGGAUGUUGGCCCACCACCUCAAGCUCAACAUCGACAAGAUGAAACUGAUUUUCCUCCUGGGGGAAGGCCUGCCCGCUCCAAGACCUCUCCAUCGUGGUUGCCAACUCCACAGUGUCUCACCCCCAGAGUAUAAAGAACCUUGGCUUGACCCUGAACAACACCCUGUCGUUUUCCUCAAACAUCAAAGCAGUGACUUGAGCUAUUCCACAUAUUUGUAUAGUUUGGUCAGACAUUAGACUACUUUCCAAUCUCAGUCCUCCACACCCAGUAUGAGACCAGAUGAAUUCCUCCACCUCUAAAGGCCCUUUCUCACCAAUUCAAACACAACUCUAUUGGUGUGAAAAGGCCUUAAGAAGGAAGUGUAUUACCCAUAGUGUAUAUUAUACUUACAGUAUAGCCUACUUAUAAAACACCCGAAAUUAUCAAUCUUCAAGCUUCCAUAAUAAAGUGAGACAGGAGACUGAGCUUUGUAAUCGACAUACAGUAUGUUUAUUCAUUUUUCUAUUUAGACGUUUUUGUUUCAUACAUUUCCCUCUGAAACAACUGUUUUUAAAAACAGUCAUAAAAAAAUACAGUCAGCUGGUGGGUCUACAUUAGUGACAGGAUUUUUUUUUUAAUUACUUGAGAAAAAUAAAUGUGUGAUUAUAGAAAUCCUACUUAAAGACAUGAUGUCUGUGAUUGAUGAAUUUCCUGUGGGAAUAUGGACAGAUACAGUGCCUUCAGGAAGUAUUCACACCCCUUGACUUUUUCCACAUUUUGUUGUGUAACAAAGUGGGAUUCAAUUGUAAUUUUUCUGUCAACAAUCUACACAAAAUACUCAUUAAAGUGGAAGAAACAUUUUAACAUUUGUAAAAAAAAAAACAUAUGAAAAACAAAACACUUACAUAUCUUGAUAACGUAACAUCCAACCCCCUGAGUCAAUACAUGUUAGAAUCAUGUUUGGCAGCAAUUACAGCUGUGAGUCUUUCUGGGUAAGUCUUUAAGCGCUUUCAACACCUGGAUUUUGCAACAUUUUCCCAUUAUUAUUUAAAAAAUCCUUAAAGCUCUAUCAAAUUGGUUGAUGAUCAUUGCAAGACAACCACUUUCAGGUCUUGCCAUAGACUUUCAAGCAGAUUUAAGUCAAAACUGUAUCUCGGCCACUCAGGAAUGUUCCCUGUCUUCUUGGUAAGUAACUCCAGUGUAUAUUUGGCCUUGUGUUUUAGGUUAUUGUCCUGCAGAAAGGUGAAUUUAGUAUCUCCCAGUAUCUGGUGGAAAGUAGACUGAACCAGGUUUUCUUCUUGGAUUUUGAUGUGCUUAGCUCCAUUCCGUUUCAUUUUACUCGGACAACUCCCCAGUCCUUAACGAUUACAAGCAUACCCAUAACAUGAUGCAGCCACCACUAUGCUUGAAAAUAUGGAGAGUGGUAUGCAGUAAUGUGCUGUACUGGAUUUGCCCCCAACAUAACACUUUGUAUUCAGGACAAAAAGUUCCUCGUUUUUACACUUUUUUUGCAGUAUUAUUUUAGUGCCUUUUUGCAAACAGGCUGCAUAUUUUUGAAUAUUUGUAGUCUGUACAGGCUUCCUUCUUUUCACUCUGUCAAUUAGGUUAGUAUUGUGGAGUUACUACAAUGUUGUGGAUACUGUACAUCCUCAGUUUUCUUCUUUCACAGCCAUUAAACUCUGUAACUGUUUAAACAUCACCAUUGGCCUCAUGGUGAAUUCCCUGAGAGGUUUCCUUCCUCUCCGGCAACUGAGUUAGGAAGGACGCCUGUAUCUUUGUAGUGACUGUGUGUAAUGAUAGUCAAUCCAAAGUGUAAAUAAUAACUUCACCAUGCUCAAAGGGAUAUAUUCAAUAUCUGCUUUUUUUUACCCAUCUACCAAUAGGUGUGCUUCUCUGCGAGGCAUUGGUUAACCUCCUUGGUCUUUGUGGUUAAAUCUGUGUUUUAAAUUCACUGCUUGACUGAGGGACCUUAAAGAUAAUUGUAUGUGUGGGGUACAGAGAUGAGGUAGUCAUUCAAAAAUCAUGUCAAGCACUAUUAUUGCACACAGAGUGAGUCCGUGCAACUUAUGUGACUUGUUAAGUACAGUUUUACUCCUGAACUUAUUUAGGCUUGCGAUAACAAAGUAGUUGAAUACUUAUUGACUUAAGAAAUUUAUUAUACAUUUUACACAUUUCGAAAAACAUAAUUCCUCUUUGCAAAUAUUUUAUAUUGUGUGUAGUCCAGCGACCCCAAAAAAUCUCAAUUUAAUCCAUUUUAAAUUCAAGCUGUAACACAGCAAAAUGUGGAAAAAGUAAAGGGGUGUUAAUGAUUUCGGAAGGCACUGUAUUAGCUAUUGAUUCCACAAUGUCAACUACAACUUCACUGAAUAGUCCGUUGUGGCCGCGGCCUCUAGAAAAUCCUCUGGAUGUCUGCUGCUGAAGGUCUGCAGGUAUAGAAGUAUUACAUUCCCAAACAGACAGCUGUUUAGUGGAAAUACUGACAAUGACAAACCAUGUCCCCGAAACACCAAUAAAAUAAAUACAGUUUCUGUAAAACUGUCUUUUCUCUGGAGUCCUUUUUGGUGAUUCCUGAAAUAGUGAUAUGUUCAAAAUAAACCCUUAUCAAAUCAGCUUUAUUUCAAUAAACAAUAUUCAAA